rnacentral:rRNA from 1 species
GUGCCAGCCGCCGCGGUAAUACGAGGGGUCUAAGCGUUGUUCGGAAUCACUGGGCGUAAAGCGGGUGUAGGUGGCUCAGCAAGUUAGGUGUGAAAGCCCCGGGCUCAACCUGGGAAGUGCAUCUAAAACUACUGAGCUUGAGUACGGGAGAGGGAAGCAGAAUUCCUGGUGUAGUGGUGAAAUACGUAGAUAUCAGGAGGAACACCGGUGGCGAAGGCGGUUUCCUGGCCCAGUACUGACACUCAGACCCGAAAGCGUGGGUAGCAAACAGGAUUAGAUACCCUGGUAGUCC